rnacentral:rRNA from 1 species
AUUGAACGCUGGCGGCAUGCCUUACACAUGCAAGUCGAACGGCAGCACGGGAGCAAUCCUGGUGGCGAGUGGCGAACGGGUGAGUAAUAUAUCGGAACGUGCCCGGUCGUGGGGAUAACGUAGCGAAAGCUACGCUAAUACCGCAUACGAUCUACGGAUGAAAGCGGGGGAUCGCAAGACCUCGCGCGAUUGGAGCGGCCGAUAUCAGAUUAGGUAGUUGGUGAGGUAAAGGCUCACCAAGCCGACGAUCUGUAGCUGGUCUGAGAGGACGACCAGCCACACUGGGACUGAGACACGGCCCAGACUCCUACGGAGGCAGCAGUGGGGAAUUUUGGACAAUGGGCGCAAGCCUGAUCCAGCAAUGCCGCGUGCAGGAUGAAGGCCUCGG